UUUUUGAGCGCUAGCGCCAAUCGCAUGCAUUUGGGUGGAGGCUCGCCGGAACUGCAAACGGCCGAAGAGUUCUGUUGGAGUUGCCCUGAUUCCCGAUCCUUCGCCGCCAUUACGAAAUGUAUAAAGGUCCGGAAAAUCCGGUUUAAACGGCUGGGAACGUCAGAACACCGGAGAAGCAAUGGCGAAGCAGGGCGAGGGCACAGUGUCAACCCGCUUGGUGGAAGUCGAAGUAGAAACCCUAAUCCUGCAGAAAGUGGAAGAGGUCUCCUCUUCGAUCGAUUCUGCUAAGCACGUCGAUCAAGUGAUCUGCGCCCUUCAUUCCCUAGCUGUUCUUUUCUUCCAAAUCGAUUCCUCUAUCAUAUUAGGUGCCAUUGAUCCUCAGUACUCUAGCCGGGUGUUGGAUGUUAAAGUUCCGACUGAUUCUGAAAGGGAUGAGUGGAGGCAUGUUUUCUACCACGGUGCUGCCUUUCCUGCCAUGUCUAGGAUGCUUAUAUACAAUGUUACAUCUCAUUGGCUGAGUUCCUUUCCUUUGCCAGCACGCAAGCAAGUUUAUGAUUCAUUCUUUGUGGAAGGUCCCCCAACUGAGAUCAUGCAGACCUUGGUACCUGCUCUCAAGCAAAAUGGAAGCAUUGAUAAGUUUAAGCUCAAGACUAUCCAUUCAAACGUUGAAAGGCUAUUGGUUUUGUGCUUACUUGAAAAAGAAGGGGUACAGCUUAUGGUUUCGGAAUUUGAUCUUCCAUACAGUGGUGUUCGAAAUCUUGGUGAAGUGUUGAAAGCAGAUAGGUCACUGAGUAUAUCGAGAGUAGCACAACUUCUUGCUUCAAUUCCUGACAAAGCAACAUUUGAAGCUCUACCUUCACUUUCAUCAUACUCCUUCGUCCGUUGCAUUAUUAUUCAACUUCUUGAUGGAUCAGAAAAAAGGGCUUUGGAAUUAUAUGAUAGAGUGGAUACGCCCGAUGUAACUACCAUGGAAGGUGGCCUGUUUUUUGUUGGAGAAACUUUUUCACGUAUAUGUAGGCGUGGAUCUGCAGACAUUCUUGCAGAUGAGAUGAUUCCCAGAAUUCUUGAUAUAGUCCAAAGCUGCUUAUCAUCAAAAUCUUAUUCUGCUAUUACUACUGUGUUCGAGAAGUCUUCUAGAUCUAUGUUUUGGUUGAGGAUAGUGGAAGCGAUUAAAGACCGAUAUGCUAUGGAGAGAUUGUCUGAAGUGUUACUCCGGCAGCUUUCAACUAAAAACAUUAGUGAUGUGGAAGCUUAUUGGACUCUCUGGUUGCUGUUUAAUCGGUGCUUCAAGCUUGAAAAUACCAUGAGGGCCAUGUUCGUGGAAAAAUUUUUAAUUUGCAAAAUCUUUCCAGUGUGCUGCCUGAGAUGGAUCAUUCAGUUUUCCAUUCUUGAACAUGCACCGGAUGAUGAUGCAUGCUCAACAAGCCCAAAGAAUAAAAGAUUCUUUGACGUAGUGCAACGCUUAGUUACUGUAUGGUCCAAGCACGAUUUUGUUCAGUCAGCUCGUGUGGAGCAGCAGGCUUACAUAACAGCAGCUGUUGGUUUGUGUUUGGAGAAAAUGACCAAUGAAGAACUAGAAAAAGCUCCAGAAGUAUUGUCGUCUAUUCUUCAAGGAGUCAGCUGUAGGCUGGAGAGCCCGAUUCAUUUAAUUAGAAAAAUGGGUUGUUCUAUUGCUUUAGCAUUCUCUAGAGUAGUGGAUCCAGCAAAGCCCCUCUAUCUGGAUGAUAUCUGCUGUGAAAAUAUUGAUUGGGAAUUUGGGCUUAUUUCUCUAACUAAGAAACAAGAAGCACAUGGAAUCUCUAUUGACAAUGCUGAAUUAAAAAUUUCACAAAGCGAUAGAGGUCAUUCAUAUUUUGAUAAAAAACAGAAGAAUGUGAAAGAUAAAGGAAGCCAAAGCAAAAUUAAGAUUUUAGAGGUGAGAAAGAACGUUUCUGAUAAGAGUAUUGAUCCAGCUUUGCUUAAAAGUGUGCAUGAAGAUGAUGAAGAAGUCAGUGAUGAUGAAAGCAAGCAUUCUGAAGCUUCAAGUGAUUCAUCCUUACAACCUUAUGAUCUUUCUGAUGAUGAUACCGAUUUACAAAAAAGAUUCUCCCAAUUGGCUGAUGUCAGUGCAGCAUUACGAAAACCUGAUGAUCCUGAUGGUAUUGAGAGAGCACUUGAGGUUGCUGAAAAGCUCAUAAGAGCAUCACCUGAUGAACUCCAUCAUAGUUCCGGUGAUCUUGCCCAAGCAUUAGUGCAUGUUCGUUGUACAGAUGCUGCUAUUGAAGGACAGGAAGAUUCUUCUGAAGAGAAGAGGCAAAGGGCCCUCGUUGCUCUGAUUGUGACAUGUCCGUUUGAGUCUUUGGAUGUUCUUACAAAGUUACUUUAUUCCCCAAAUGUGGAUGUUAGUCAACGCAUCUUGAUAAUUGAUAUUAUGACAGAGGCCGCCCAGGAGCUUGCUGAUGCUACUUUCAUUACAAUGAUUGGUCAAUCAAGGAGCUUGAUAUCUUCUAUACAAGAAAAUCAGCCAUGGUUUGUUCCAAGUCGUAUUGGACCUCAUGGAGCAGGUCCAUGGAAGGAGGUUGAGGAAGUCGGAGUGCUAAGUUGGUCUCACAGAUAUGAGAGAGUACUUCCCUCCAGACCAGGGCAAGUCAAGAAAGGGAAAUCACGGAGAUGGAGUCUUGGGAAAACAAGAGAAUCCCAACCAGACCACACAAAGAACAAAUUUCCUUUGUAUGCUGCUGCUUUUAUGCUGCCUGCAAUACAAGGAUAUGACAAAAGGAGGCAUGGCCUUGACUUACUGAACAGGGACUUCAUUGUUCUAGGAAAACUGAUUCACAUGCUUGGUGUGUGUAUGAAUUGCAUUGCUAUGCAUCCAGAAGCAUCGGCCUUGGCUUCCCACCUUCUUGACAUGUUAAGGUCUAGGCAUGUAGCUCAUCACGCAGAAGCAUAUGUUAGAAGUUCUGCCCUUUUUGCAGCCUCGAGCAUUUUAAAAGCUCUGCAUCCAUCGUAUGUGGCAUCUGCUUUGAUUGAAGGCAAUGAUGAAAUUUCUAAUGGGCUGGAGUGGAUCCGCAUAUGGGCUCUUAAGAUUGCUGAAUCUGACCCAGAUACCGAGUGCGCAACUGUAAGUUCCUAAAGAAAUAAUGGCUGAAAGAGAAGAACAUGUUUACAGAAGACGAGGCGCAAAUGACAACAGAUCGAGUAUUCGGGCCGGGUCUUGACACUAGCUAUUUGGUUGGAGUCGCUUCAAUCAGGUCAUCCGGAGGUGAAGGGUAGAGGUUCCGCAUCCCAAGUGGAUAUUCUCUGUGAUGUCAAAGAGGUGAAGAAGCAUGCAAACAGGGAAUGUCGUCAUCGAAGGAGCCUAGUCCAACAUGAAGGCAAAACCGUCGAAGGGAAGUAGUCCAACAGGAAGGCAACGUUGUCGAAGGGGCGAAGUCCAAUAGGAAGGCAACACUGUCGAAGGAGCGAAGUCCAACAGGAAGGCAAUGUCGUCGAAGGGGCGAACUCGAUCAAGGAACGUCGUUGAAGGAGCGAAGUCCAACAGAAAGGAAACACGCCGUUGAAGGGGCUAAGUCGUCAUCGUCGAAGGAGUUGAAUUUCUCUCCCCAACAUUUCGUGUAUUCCUUUUUCGCUCGAAUUUGAGCGGUUUUCCUUUAAACGCAAAAUGAACUGCGAUGGCUAUGAGAUGUCUUCAGCUCCAUUCUGAAAUGGCCCUCCAGACUUCUCGCUCUCUUGAAACUGCACAAUCUUUCAGGUCAAAAGUUAGCAUCUCGCCUUCAAUGAUCAAAGACAUUAUAAUACCUUCCUCAAAUCGGU